AUUGAACGCUGGCGGCAUGCCUUACACAUGCAAGUCGAACGGCAGCACGGGUGCUUGCACCUGGUGGCGAGUGGCGAACGGGUGAGUAAUACAUCGGAACAUGUCCUGUAGUGGGGGAUAGCCCGGCGAAAGCCGGAUUAAUACCGCAUACGAUCUACGGAUGAAAGCGGGGGACCUUCGGGCCUCGCGCUAUAGGGUUGGCCGAUGGCUGAUUAGCUAGUUGGUGGGGUAAAGGCCUACCAAGGCGACGAUCAGUAGCUGGUCUGAGAGGACGACCAGCCACACUGGGACUGAGACACGGCCCAGACUCCUACGGGAGGCAGCAGUGGGGAAUUUUGGACAAUGGGCGAAAGCCUGAUCCAGCAAUGCCGCGUGUGUGAAGAAGGCCUUCGGGUUGUAAAGCACUUUUGUCCGGAAAGAAAUCCUUGGCCCUAAUACGGUCGGGGGAUGACGGUACCGGAAGAAUAAGCACCGGCUAACUACGG
rnacentral:rRNA from 1 species